rnacentral:tRNA from 1 species
CGGGAUAUAGCUCAGUUGGUAGAGUAUUUGCCUUGCAUGCAGAAGACCCUGGGUUCAAUCCUCAGUACCACAA